UACGGAGGGUGCAAGCGUUGCUCGGAAUCACUGGGCGUAAAGAGCGUGUAGGCGGUUUCGUAUGUCUGACGUGAAAGCCCCGGGCUCACCCCGGGAAGUGCGUUGGAAACUGCGGAACUAGAGUCUUGGAGAGGGAGGUGGAAUUCCAGGUGUAGCGGUGAAAUGCGUAGAUAUCUGGAAGAACACCGGUGGCGAAGGCGACCUCCUGGACGAUGACUGACGCUGAGACGCGAAAGCGUGGGGAGCAAACAGG
rnacentral:rRNA from 1 species